UCUGGGGGGAGCUGGCUGCCAUGUUUGAAAGCACUCGGGCAGCCCCAGGAAGGGGUCCGCGUGGUGGAAAACUGAAGCAUGUGACUGCAGCCCCAGCCGACACGUAGAUUGGCGCCUUCUUAUGAAGGACCUUGAACCAAAGGCACCCAGAUGAGCUGCUCCCACAUUCCUGACCCACAAAAACUGUAUCCGAGAAUUCCAACGAAUCCCAAGCAGGAUAAAUGUAAAGACAGUUUCACAGUGGCACAUGAGAAGCCAACUGGUGAUGAGGAGAAAAUCUUAAAAGCAUCUAGAGAAGAAGACACAUGGUAUAUGGGGGAACAAAGUUAAGAACAACAUUUUUCAUUAUGAUCCAGUAUAUAGUACAUCUUGAUGAAAAUGUAAAAGUGUGUAUUCUGUCUUUGGGGGUGUAGACUUCAAUAAAUAUCACUUCAGUCAA